CGGUUGCUGAGAAGUUGAUCAAACUUGGUCAUUUAGAGGAAGUAAAGUCGUAACAAGGUUUCCGUAGGUGAACCUGCGGAAGGAUCAUUA
rnacentral:rRNA from 1 species